UAGGGAAUCUUCCACAAUGGACGCCAUUCUGCUUGAGCACCUCCUCGUGAGUGAAGAAGGUUUUCGGAUCGUAAAGCUCUGUUGUUGGUGAAGAAGGAUAGAGGCAGUAACUGGUCUUUAUUUGACGGUAAUCAACCAGAAAGUCACGGCUAACUACGUGCCAGCAGCCGCGGUAAUACGUAGGUGGCAAGCGUUGUCCGGAUUUAUUGGGCGUAAAGCGAGCGCAGGCGGAAUGAUAAGUCUGAUGUGAAAGCCCACGGCUCAACCGUGGAACUGCAUCGGAAACUGUCAUUCUUGAGUGCAGAAGAGGAGAGUGGAAUUCCAUGUGUAGCGGUGGAAUGCGUAGAUAUAUGGAAGAACACCAGUGGCGAAGGCGGCUCUCUGGUCUGCAACUGACGCUGAGGCUCGAAAGCAUGGGUAGCGAACAGG
rnacentral:rRNA from 1 species